GACGAACGCUGGCGGCGUGCCUAACACAUGCAAGUCGAACGAAGUGGCGAACGGGUGAGUAAUACGUGGGUAACCUGCCCUCCUUUUUGGGAUAAGCCUUGGAAACGGGGUCUAAUACCGACUAAAGGGGGUUGGGCUCGCGGCCUAUCAGCUUGUUGGUGGGGUGAUGGCCUACCAAGGCGGUGACGGGUGGCCGGCCUGAGAGGGCGACCGGACACGAGAGGCGUGAGAUACGGCCAAGGCACGUACGGGAGGCGACAAUUGGAGAUAUUGCGCAAGGGGGAAAAGCCUGAGCCGGCGGCGCGGCGAGGGGGAUGAAGUCUUACGGUUUGUAAACCGCGUACGAAGUCGUACGGGUAGGUGGAGAAGAAGCGCCGGCUAACUACGUGCCAGCAGCCGCGGUAAUAC
rnacentral:rRNA from 1 species